rnacentral:rRNA from 1 species
AACGAACGCUGGCGGCAUGCCUAACACAUGCAAGUCGAACGAGACCUUCGGGUCUAGUGGCGCACGGGUGCGUAACGCGUGGGAACCUGCCCUUAGGUUCGGAAUAACUCCCCGAAAGGGGUGCUAAUACCGGAUAAUGUCUUCGGACCAAAGAUUUAUCGCCUUUGGAUGGGCCCGCGUUGGAUUCGCUAGUUGGUAGGGUAAAAGCCUACCAAGGCGACGAUCCAUAGCUGGUCUGAGAGGAUGAUCAGCCACACUGGGACUGAGACACGGCCCAGACUCCUACGGGAGGCAGCAGUGGGGAAUAUUGGACGAUGGGCGAAAGCCUGAUCCAGCAAUGCCGCGUGAGUGAUGAAGGCCUUAGGGUUGUAAAGCUCUUUUACCCGGGAUGAUAAUGACAGUACCGGGAGAAUAAGCUCCGGCUAACUCCGUG